GUCUACGGCCACACCACCCUGAACGCACCCGAUCUCGUCUGAUCUGGGAAG
rnacentral:rRNA from 1 species